GAUGAACGCUGGCGGCGUGCCUAAUACAUGCAAGUCGAGCGAACAGACGAGGAGCUUGCUCCUCUGACGUUAGCGGCGGACGGGUGAGUAACACGUGGAUAACCUACCUAUAAGACUGGGAUAACUUCGGGAAACCGGAGCUAAUACCGGAUAAUAUAUUGAACCGCAUGGUUCAAUAGUGAAAGACGGUUUUGCUGUCACUUACAGAUGGAUCCGCGCCGCAUUAGCUAGUUGGUAAGGUAACGGCUUACCAAGGCAACGAUGCGUAGCCGACCUGAGAGGGUGAUCGGCCACACUGGAACUGAGACACGGUCCAGACUCCUACGGGAGGCAGCAGUAGGGAAUCUUCCGCAAUGGGCGAAAGCCUGACGGAGCAACGCCGCGUGAGUGAUGAAGGUCUUCGGAUCGUAAAACUCUGUUAUUAGGGAAGAACAAAUGUGUAAGUAACUAUGCACGUCUUGACGGUACCUAAUCAGAAGGCCACGGCUAACUACGUG
rnacentral:rRNA from 1 species